CCGGCACGGGUGAGUAACACGUAUGCAAUCCACCUGUAACAGGGGGAGUAACCCGGAGAAAUCCGGACUAAUACCCCAUAAUAUGGGCGCUCCGCAUGGAGAGUCCAUUAAAGAGAGCAAUUUUGGUUACAGACGAGCAUGCGCUCCAUUAGCCAGUUGGCGGGGUAACGGCCCACCAAAGCGACGAUGGAUAGGGGUUCUGAGAGGAAGGUCCCCCACAUUGGAACUGAGACACGGUCCAA
rnacentral:rRNA from 1 species